UGUUUCUGGUUUACCUUUUAUCAGCUUUGGAGACACGGAUUCCUCUCUUUUGACUAUAAAAGGAACCAAGCUGCAAUCAUUUGCUUUUCACUUGAAGGGACUUAAUCAGACAAAAAAUCCCUUCGAAAUCGGUUUUACUGAAGAAAAGACUUAAGCAGGAGAAGUAAAUAUAUGAGAGCACUGGACUGGUUGGCACUGUACAGAGUACUGAGAGCACAUAGUCCCAAGCUCCCAUAAAGAACUGGGAUGAGCGUGCAGAAGCAGGAUGAGAAGGAAGGAAGCUUCCCUACCACUCACCCAAGCCCUGGUGUAUGGUACUGACGGAAGCUUGGGGGCAAGUAUUAGUAUGUGAAUAACAGUGCUGAGGUGGAUUCCUGUAUUCCAGGAAGCAGAACUUUGUCCUGACGUGUAAAGGAAUAAAGUUUCACAAAAGGUAUUUGCCCGGUAGAUCUAGCAAUGCAAAACCAAAGCCAGGUGGCCAGGAGGGCCAAUGGAUGGCCAGUGUGGCCACCAGGAGCAGGGCAGUGAUCAUCUCCCUGUACCUGCCACUAGAGAGGCCACACCCCAAAUCCUGUGUUCAGU